UACGAAGGGGGCUAGCGUUGCUCGGAAUUACUGGGCGUAAAGCGCACGUAGGCGGCUUUCUAAGUCAGGGGUGAAAUCCUGGAGCUCAACUCCAGAACUGCCUUUGAUACUGGAGAGCUCGAGUCCGGAAGAGGUGAGUGGAACUCCGAGUGUAGAGGUGAAAUUCGUAGAUAUUCGGCGGAACACCAGUGGCGAAGGCGGCUCACUGGCCCGAUACUGACGCUGAGGCACGAAAGCGUGGGGAGCAAACAGG
rnacentral:rRNA from 1 species